GACGAACGCUGGCGGCGUGCUUAACACAUGCAAGUCGAGCGGUAAGGCCCUUUCGGGGGUACGACGAGCGGCGAACGGGUGAGUAACACGUGGGUGACCUGCCCUUAGCUCUGGGAUAAGCCUGGGAAACGUGGGUCUAAUACCGGAUAUGACUCCAUGACGCAUGUUGUGGGGUGGAAAGCCUUGUGCGGCUAGGGAUGGGCCCGCGGCCUAUCAGCUUGUUGGUGGGGUGAUGGCCUACCAAGGCGACGACGGGUAGCCGGCCUGA
rnacentral:rRNA from 1 species